UUAAAGCUUUAAGGAAAUUAAGCAUUAUAAUCCUACAAUGGUAAAAGGAGUACUACUUUUUUCUCUACUUGUCUUUCUAAUACUAACGCAAACAGAUUGCAUGAAAUCCUUCCAUGUAAGAAAAUGUUGUUGGGAAUAUCAUCUUGGUAAUGAUGUUUGCGUUAACCGUAUUUGCAAUUCAGUGUGUCAACAACAUUGCAAAGGAGGACAUUGCAGAAAUUACGAUAAACAUAUAUGUCAUUGUGCUUGUUAAUUAAUUAUCAUGAUUCAUAGAAGAGUUAUAUUAUGAAAGCAAAAUUUUCAAUAACUAUAUUCAACUUAUAUCAUGUUGAUCAGUAAAUUAUCGAUAAAAAAAUUAUUUAGACUAUGAAUAAAAUGAUGAAUGUCAUUG